AGGAUGAACGCUGGCGGCGUGCCUAACACAUGCAAGUCGAACGUCUCUUUCUUCGGGAAGAGGAGUGGCGGACGGGUGAGGAACACGUGGGAACCUGCCCUUCAGUGAGGAAUACCGGCGAGAAAUCGCCGACAAGACCGCAUAGCCCUCUCUGGUGAGAGCCAGAGAAGGAAAGCCUCGCAAGAGGCGCUGGAGGAGGGGCCUGCGUCCGAUUAGCUAGUUGGUGGGGUAAGAGCCUACCAAGGCGUCGAUCGGUAGCUGGUCUGAGAGGACGAUCAGCCACACUGGGAUUGAGAACGGCCCAGACUCCUACGGGGGGCAGCAGUGAGGAAUUUUCCGCAAUGGGCGCAAGCCUGACGGAGCAACGCCGCGUGCAGGAAGACGGUUUUCGGAUCGUAAACUGUCUUUUCGUCGGGGACGAGAACGGACGGUACCCGAGGAAUCGACGCCCCGGCUAACUACGUGCCAGCAGCCGC
rnacentral:rRNA from 1 species